rnacentral:rRNA from 1 species
AUGGCAUCUCCGUCGAGCACCGGCAACUCCGCCGUCUCCGUGGUGGUCGCAGCACCGACGACACCGGGGGCCGGGGCGCCGUGCGCUGCGUGCAAGUUCCUGCGGCGCAAGUGCCUCCCUGGUUGCGUGUUCGCGCCCUACUUCCCGCCGGAGGAGCCGCAGAAGUUCGCCAACGUGCACAAGGUGUUCGGCGCCAGCAACGUGACCAAGCUGCUCAACGAGCUGCCGCCGCACCAGCGGGAGGACGCCGUUAGCUCGCUGGCCUACGAGGCGGAGGCGCGGGUCAAGGACCCCGUCUACGGCUGCGUCGGCGCCAUCUCCGUGCUCCAGCGCCAGGUCCACCGCCUCCAGAAGGAGCUCGACGCCGCGCACACCGAGCUCCUCCGCUACGCCUGCGGCGAGCUCGGUGGCAUCCCCACCGCGCUUCCCGUCGUCACGGCCAGCAUCCCCACCGGCAGGCUCUCAUCCGCCGCAAUGCCGUGCCCCGGGCAGCUCGGCGGCGGCAUGUACAGCGGCGGAAGUGGCGGUGGCUUCCGGAGGCUCGGGCUUGUGGACGCGAUAGUGCCACAGCCACCUCUUUCCGCCGGUUGCUACUACAAUAUGCGGAGCAGCAACAACGCUGGAGGCAGCGUCGCCGCUGAGGUGGCGCCCGUGCAGAUCCCUUACGCCUCCAUGGCGAAUUGGGCUGUGAACGCCAUUAGCACCAUCACCACCACCUCAGGAUCAGAGAGCAUUGUGAUGGAUCACAAGGAAGGAGGCGACAGCAGCAUGUGA